rnacentral:tRNA from 1 species
GUCCUUGUGGCUCUGCGGUAGAAUUCCUGCCUGCCAUGCUGGCAGCCUGGGUUCACAUCCUAGCAAAGCCA